rnacentral:lncRNA from 1 species
CCUCGUCUGAACACAAGAAGGCCGACGGCGCCAAACGAGGGCUCACCCCCUUCUUCGCAUUUCUGUAAGCCAUACAGUCCCUCUUCCCAUCAUUUCGCGUCUCCAGAUCUACGACAUGCCCUUUUAAUCUUUUUAGGAUUUUGUUGAAUUUUCUGUGUUGCUGCGCUGCUAGGGUUGAUGCCAGGCCACAGUUCCUAGAGGUUCGCGCCGCCGUAGCUAAAUAACUUAGACACCCCAUGUUAUCAGCACAACCGUUGGUACAACAACAAACAAAGCCUCUUAGUAUUUUACUGAUGUAUCAAAUUUCCAUAAAAAUGGCCUUGUAGUUCAUGAACUUUAUUAUUUUUGUUUAGUGAUAAUGUGGUGGUGGUGUUUUAAUCGGGAGAGCAACAACUCAAGAAGGCCAAAGGCCCAAAUCUGAUGUUCGGGAGGGGAGAUGAAACAGAAGGUUCUGACAAUUCAAAGUCUAAGUUUAAGGAUGAUGAGCAGGAUGGUAAUUAGGUGUUACAAUGCAGAUUUGCAAUUGUUGCUAACAUCAGCUUAAUUUCUCCAUUGUAGGAUGAGGAUGAAUAAAUAAUAGGAUGGGGGAACAUCAACUUUGCAAUUGAGUGUUUGCUGCUUCUUUACUUAGUUUCAUAUAUGUUGUUUC